rnacentral:rRNA from 1 species
AGGGUUUGAUUCUGGCUCAGAUUGAACGCUGGCGGCAGGCCUAACACAUGCAAGUCGAGCGGUAGAGAGGUGCUUGCACCUCUUGAGAGCGGCGGACGGGUGAGUAAUGCCUAGGAAUCUGCCUGGUAGUGGGGGAUAACGCUCGGAAACGGACGCUAAUACCGCAUACGUCCUACGGGAGAAAGCAGGGGACCUUCGGGCCUUGCGCUAUCAGAUGAGCCUAGGUCGGAUUAGCUAGUUGGUGGGGUAAUGGCUCACCAAGGCGACGAUCCGUAACUGGUCUGAGAGGAUGAUCAGUCACACUGGAACUGAGACACGGUCCAGACUCCUACGGGAGGCAGCAGUGGGGAAUAUUGGACAAUGGGCGAAAGCCUGAUCCAGCCAUGCCGCGUGUGUGAAGAAGGUCUUCGGAUUGUAAAGCACUUUAAGUUGGGAGGAAGGGCACUAACCUAAUACGUUAGUGUUUUGACGUUACCGACAGAAUAAGCACCGGCUAACUCUGUGCCAGCAGCCGCGGUAAUACAGAGGGUGCAAGCGUUAAUCGGAAUUACUGGGCGUAAAGCGCGCGUAGGUGGUUCGUUAAGUUGGAUGUGAAAUCCCCGGGCUCAACCUGGGAACUGCAUUCAAAACUGUCGAGCUAGAGUAUGGUAGAGGGUGGUGGAAUUUCCUGUGUAGCGGUGAAAUGCGUAGAUAUAGGAAGGAACACCAGUGGCGAAGGCGACCACCUGGACUGAUACUGACACUGAGGUGCGAAAGCGUGGGGAGCAAACAGGAUUAGAUACCCUGGUAGUCCACGCCGUAAACGAUGUCAACUAGCCGUUGGGAGCCUUGAGCUCUUAGUGGCGCAGCUAACGCAUUAAGUUGACCGCCUGGGGAGUACGGCCGCAAGGUUAAAACUCAAAUGAAUUGACGGGGGCCCGCACAAGCGGUGGAGCAUGUGGUUUAAUUC